UCCCAAGGUGUCGCUCAGUGGGAGAGCACAUGCUUUGCACACAUGGCAUUCCAGGUUCAAGCCAGGUAAGCCUGGGAA